rnacentral:lncRNA from 1 species
GGACGUUCGACCGGUUAAUCUACGGAGAAGAGCGUCUUGGACAUCAAACCCAAAUAAUAAACGAUCGCGUCCACCGUGCCAUGGUGUGCAUCUGCGGCGUGGCGUUCGCGAUCGCUGGCCUGCUGGGCCUGCUCAUGCUGUACCUCGUCUACCUGGCUAUGCACGUCGGAGAGCCAGUUCGACCUCGAGCCGCGGUCGAGACGUCGACCACGACGUCCGAUUCGCCCAUCCACACCAGCCUCCACCCUAGACGUUACACAACCGCAGUGC